rnacentral:sRNA from 1 species
UGGGCGGCCCCAGAGCUGACAGCUGCCCCCUUUCCACACUCCCCAGGCCGCUGCCUGCUCCCCAGGCCCAAGUCCCUUGCGGGCAGCUGCCCCUCCACCCGCCUGCUGACGCUGGAGGAAGCCCAGGCACGCACCCAGGGCCGGCUGGGGACGCCCACGGAGCUCACAACUCCCAAGGCCCCGGCCUCACCUGCGGAAAGGCAGCAGACCCGACACCGUCACACUGAGAUCUGCCAAGAGCGAGGAGUCUCUGUCAUCGCAGGCCAGCGGGGCUGGCCUCCAGAGGCUGCACAGGCUGCGGCGACCCCACUCCAGCAGCGACGCUUUCCCUGUGGGCCCAGCACCUGCUGGCUCCUGCGAGAGCCUGUCCUCAUCCUCCUCCUCCGAGUCCUCCUCCUCCGAGUCCUCCUCUUCAUCCUCUGAGUCCUCAGCAGCUGGGCUGGGGGCACUCUCUGGGUCUCCCUCACACCGCACCUCAGCCUGGCUAGAUGAUGGUGAUGAGCUGGACUUCAGCCCACCCCGCUGCCUGGAGGGACUCCGGGGGCUGGACUUUGAUCCCUUAACCUUCCGCUGCAGCAGCCCCACCCCAGGGGAUCCUGCACCUCCCGCCAGC